rnacentral:rRNA from 1 species
AUUGAACGCUGGCGGCAUGCUUUACACAUGCGAGUCGAACGGUAACAGGCCGCAAGGUGCUGACGAGUGGCGGACGGGUGCGUAAUGCAUCGGAACGUGCCCAGUCGUGGGGGAUAACUACUCGAAAGAGUAGCUAAUACCGCAUACGAUCUAUGGAUGAAAGCGGGGGACCGUAAGGCCUCGCGCGAUUGGAGCGGCCGAUGUCAGAUUAGGUAGUUGGUGGGGUAAAGGCUCACCAAGCCAACGAUCUGUAGCUGGUCUGAGAGGACGACCAGCCACACUGGGACUGAGACACGGCCCAGACUCCUACGGGAGGCAGCAGUGGGGAAUUUUGGACAAUGGGCGCAAGCCUGAUCCAGCAAUGCCGCGUGCAGGAAGAAGGCCUUCGGGUUGUAAACUGCUUUUGUACGGAACGAAACGGCUCUGGUUAAUACCCGGGGCUAAUGACGGUACCGUAAGAAUAAGCACCGGCUAACUACGUG